CAUGCAAGUCGAACGCUUCAUCGGGGCUUGCUCCGGUGGGGAGUGGCGCACGGGUGAGUAGCGCGUGGGAACCUGCCCAGUAGUGGGGGAUAACCGAGGGAAACUUCGGCUAAUACCGCAUGCGCCCGGGGGAGUGAUCUCUCGGGGAAAGAUUUAUCGCUAUUGGAGGGGCCCGCGUCGGAUUAGCUAGUUGGUGGGGUAACGGCCUACCAAGGCAGUGAUCCGUAGCUGGUCUGAGAGGAUGAUCAGCCACACUGGGACUGAGACACGGCCCAGACUCCUACGGGAGGCGGCAGUGGGGAAUAUUGGACAAUGGGCGCAAGCCUGAUCCAGCAAUGCCGCGUGAGUGAGGAAGGCCUUAGGGUUGUAAAGCUCUUUCGCACGCGACGAUGAUGACGGUAGCGUGAGAAGAAGCCCCGGCUAACUUCGU
rnacentral:rRNA from 1 species